rnacentral:rRNA from 1 species
GACGAACGCUGGCGGCGCGCCUAACACAUGCAAGUCGAGCGAUGAAAUUUUAACCGAUCUCUUCGGAGAGAAGAUAAAAUGGAUUAGCGGCGGACGGGUGAGUAACACGUGAGAAACCUGCCUUUCACAAGGGGAUAGCCUCGGGAAACCGGGAUUAAUACCCUAUGACACAUUUCCUUCGCAUGGAAGAAAUGUUAAAACUCCGGUGGUGAAAGAUGGUCUCGCGCCUGAUUAGCUAGUUGGUGGGGUAACGGCCCACCAAGGCCAUGAUGAGUAGCCGACCUGAGAGGGGGAUCGGCCACACUGAAAAUGAGACAAGGUGCAGACUACUAAGGGAGGCAGCAGUAGGGAAUCUGACGCAAUGGGCGAAAGCGUGAAGGAGAAAAGCCGCGUGAGUGAUGAAGGUCUUCGGAUCGGAAAAAUCUGUUAUUAGGGAAGAACAUAUGGGUAAGUAACUGUGCACAUCUUGACGGUACAUAAUAAGAAAGACACGGCUAACUACGUG